UACGUAGGUGGCAAGCGUUGUCCGGAUUUACUGGGCGUAAAGGGCGCGUAGGCGGCGCAACAAGUCACUUGUGAAAUCUCCGGGCUUAACCCGGAGCGGUCAAGUGAUACUGUCGUGCUAGAGUGCGGAAGGGGCUACUGGAAUUCUCGGUGUAGCGGUGAAAUGCGUAGAUAUCGAGAGGAACACCUGGCGGCGAAGGCGGGUAGCUGGGCCGACACUGACGCUGAUGCGCGAAAGCCAGGGGAGCGAACGGG
rnacentral:rRNA from 1 species